AUAGCGAGCAGCUAAAACAGGCCUGUAAAUGUUGCAAUAUUAGCCACGUCACACAUACACACACUCCACACACUCCACACACAUACACACACUCCACACACUCCACACACUCCACACACAUACACACACUCCACACACUCCACACGCUUCAAACGCUCCACACACUCCACACACUCCACACACAUACACACACUCCACACACUCCACACACUCCACACACUCCACACUCCACACACAUACACACACUCCACACACUCCACACGCUUCAAACGCUCCACACGCUCCACACACUCCACACACUUCACACACAUACACACACUCCACACACUCCACACACUCCACACACAUACACACACUCCACACACUCCACACACUCCACACGCUUCAAACGCUCCACACGCUCCACACACUCCACACUCCACACACAUACACACACUCCACACACUCCACACGCUUCAAACGCUCCACACGCUCCACACACUCCACACACUUCACACACAUACACACACUCCACACGCUCCACACACAUACACACACUCCACACACACACACACUCCACACACUCCACACGCUUCAAACGCUCCACACGCUCACACCACUCCACACACUCCACACACAUACACACACUCCACACACUCCACACACUCCACACGCUCCACACACUCCACACACAUACACACACUCCACACACACACACACACACUCCACACACUCCACACACUCCACACACUCCACACGCAUACACACACUCCACACACAUACACACACUCCACACACUCCACACGCUUCAAACGCUCCACACGCUCCACACACUCCACACACUCCACACACAUACACACACUCCACACACUCCACACACUCCACACACUCCACACGCAUACACACUCCACAUGCAUACACACACUCCACACACACACACACACUCCACACACUCCACACACUCCAAACGCUCCACACACUCCACACACUCCACACACUCCACACACAUACACACACUCCACACACACACACACACUCCACACACUCCAAACGCUCCACACGCUCCACACACAUACACACACUCCACACGCUCCACACACUCCACACACUCCACACGCUCCACACACUCCACACACUCCACACACUCCACACACUCAGUUCAUCCAGCUCCCUCCAUCAUGAGUG
rnacentral:lncRNA from 1 species